UUAUCGGGAUGGGGUCAGAUGAUCCCUAAUUACACCUGCCAGGCACAGAACAAGAAUGUGGCUGUCACUGCAGGAACCACACCAGCAUUCUCUGCCCACAUUGCGACACUGUUGGAGCUCUACAAAAUACCACAGAGAACUCAAUAUGGAACACUUUUUCUCUUUUGAUUCAGACAACCUAUGGAGAUUUUGAUCCUGUACUGAAAGGUUGCAAGUAAACCUCUAAUGAUUGUAGGGUCUAAUUAGCAACAGUGUCAACUCUUUUAACUAGAAAUAAUUGAUUAAAAACUUUCACUGUGAGAGCUCCACCCAUUCCUAAGAAACACCCAAUUUAAAAAAAGCACUGGAGCUCACGUGUCACUGGAUGAGAAAAGAAACUCUGUGUCACAGCAUGUAAUUCUGAACUAUAUGAUUUUCCUAAAGGUCUUGGACUUCAGGUGAAAGACGUUCUGUCAGCCAGGAUUCAGGAACAUCCCUCAGGAAGAGAGAGCUACCUGCUGCUUUGUCUGUGUAUUGUGCCCCGAGAGAGAAAUAUGUAAUCAGACAGA